rnacentral:rRNA from 1 species
GACGAACGCUGGCGGCGUGCCUAAUACAUGCAAGUCGAACGCAGUGGGGACGGGUGAGUAACACGUGGGUAACCUCCCAUCAGAGGGGAUAACACUUGGAAACAGGUGCGAAAACCGAUACUGAUGGAUGGACCCGCGGUGUAUUAGCUAGUUGGUGAGGUAACGGAGCACCAAGGACACGAUGCAUAGCCGACCUGAGAGGGUGAUCGGCCACACUGGGACUGAGACACGGCCCAGACUCCUACGGGAGGCAGCAGUAGGGAAUCUGCGGCAAUGGACGAAAGUCUGACCGAGCAACGCCGCGUGAGUGAAGAAGGUUUUCGGAUCGUAAAACUCUGUUGUUAGAGAAGCGGUAUCUAACCAGUCCGCCACGGCUAACUACGUGCCAGCAGCCGCGGUCUUAC